rnacentral:tRNA from 1 species
GCAGGGGUAUCGAAGCCCGGUCAACCGAGAAGGACUCAAGAUCCUUUCCCCCAGGGGUUCGUGGGUUCAAAUCCCACCUCCUGCACCA